UAUCUGUUAAAGCAAUAAGGGAAAAGCUUGCUCAAAAUCAGAGUGACGUCCGGCGGUGAAGAGGCUACCUUCUGGGGGACUGGGCUGCCCAUAACCAGAGGUGUGAUUAUCACCAUUUGACUCAGGAAACAGAGGCUUUGUGACAAGCUGAGGCAGCCUCAGUGUGGAGUGACAGAUGUCCAUUCUGAGUCACGCUCAGAAUUCCAGGAACAUCUGGGGGCCUGAGGUCACGCGGAGCAUGGGAACCGUGGGGAAGAGGCAGAAAUUCUCAGGGGCCAGGAGAGCCACCUCCCAAGAGCAGGUGGAACUCUCCCACUCGUCCAAGGGGCUCCUGCGGCUCCACCCCUCGGAGCACUUGCUCGCCUUCUUGCACACCCCAUUCCUUCUCCACACGGAUUCUCCAGAAAACAUCAGUGGCUAAAGAUAGGCACGGCUGUGGAGUCCUGACUGCUCUCUCCCCUCGUGUGAUGCCUCGCUUCCAGGCCUUUCCCUCGGUGUUCGCCUAGGUGUCUCAGUGGGCAGUGGGUGAGCUGGGACUCCAUCUCUCUGAUGCGAAGGGGACUCAGGUUCUGCGCCAUCCACUCGAGGCGUCAAGGCAUCGGGCUGUCUAAGCAGCUGUCUUGGUAUCAAGGCACGAAGCGUCUGGUUGUGGUCUGGCCCCCCUGAUCCCUCCCCCACGGGGACACUGCCUCAUUACCCUUGCUGUGGGAUUCCAGGUGGGGACAAGGCAGGGACGGCCAACACUUGAAACGCAUGUCUCCUCCCGUCCCAACCUGGCACCGAUGGCACACGUCAACAGUCUAUCAUGCCCGAUUUCUCAACACAGCGCUUCUGGCAGCAUCACAAACGAUUGCACUUGGAACUCCAGCACUCAUUUUGCCCGUGUCGGGCUUUGGUGCAGGGGUCACCUGAUUUGGAGCCCCCCUGGUGUGCUGGCUAAGAAGACAGAUGCUGGAGUCCUCAAUGCUUGGGUCAAAGUCCUUGCUCUGCUCUGUGUGAGGUUAGAUGCGCCUCCACGGGCUUUGCCAAGAAUUCUAAUGAGAACCAGACGCUCUCACUCCGUCCUUCACCUGCAGAUCUCGCAGCGGAGAUAUUGCUGCCACUUGGGUUUGGAGUCCGAGCGUGCUUUGUUUUCAAUUCUCCCCUGUAGGAAUCGGGCCCCUGAGAGUCCGAGAAAGCAUUUCAGAUUUUUCUUUUCUUUAUUCUCCAGCCAAAAUGCACCAGGUCAAAGUAUGAAAGAGAGAAAACUCAGGACGUUGGGUGGGGAGCUGGGGCUGGUCACCCACUGGAAGCCCCGGGAGCUAAAGAGCUCACCCCUUGACAGAAAACAGAGGGAUCCCAGUUUGUACGGGGGUGGGGGGAAGCUGGUUGCUGUGUCCUUGCAGUGUCCCUGGGUGCAGUCCCCACGCAUCCACCCCCAGAGGCCAGCGGAGGUCAAUGAAGCUACAGGAAGUAAAGAAAAAGGCAAGGCCUUGGCCAGAACCACGUAAAGGUGGGUUUUGUCCUUUCCACCUGAAACAGAGGUUAUGAGAGGAUUUGCCGACUCCCACCAUCCUGGCUUGGGGAUGUUCACUACCGCUUAGGAUUCUAAAACGAAUGUGGUCUUCGCCCCUGCCUUUCUGGCCAGGAAUCCAGGCCUGCCUCCUCUCCACGGCCUGCCCUUGUGUCCCCAGGGCCUGAUUCUCUCUGCCGUGUUUGUUUGCUCUGCUUCCCACAGCCUCGGCCUGCUCCAGCCUGCAGAGCGAGCAUGGGGGGCUCUCCAAGGCACCUCCUCCAGGCAGCCGGCACAGGCCCUUGGCUCCCCUUUUCUGGGUUUGCAUAUAACUGUGGACAGAUCAUUUUUUUUCUUUUUUCUUUAAGAUUUUAUUUAUUUAUUCAUGAGAGACAGAGGCAGAG